UUGGGCGAAAGGUGAUAAAUAGAUAUUAAGCUAGUACUUGUUGAUAUGAUGUGUUUUUAUGAAAUCUUUGAUUAAUAUAGUAAAUAUUUCUUAUAUAUCAUAUUGUGUUUUAUUUAUAUUAUUUAUUUAUUGAAUCUAGAUUUUUGGCCUAGCAACUAAAAUUAGCAUAUGGAAAGUUUAUUAAGUGGUAUUCGUUGAUGAAAACUAAAAACUAAUCUCUAAACACGUUUAAUGGGAAACUUUCACCGUAUUAAAAAAUUAAGCAAAUCAAAUUAUUUCUAAAGUAAAACUUAACAACUUGAAGAAACUGAUACUAAAGUUUCGGAAACUUUCUAUUAUAUUAUUAAUUCUAAUUUAUUAUGUUUAAUAAUAUUAAUAGUAUUAUUUAUUUUAAUAGUUAUUUUUAGUAAAUAUUAAUUCCAAAACACAAAUUGUCUUUCAAGUGGACAUCAAGAAGACAUUUCUUGGUAUAAAGAAGUAUUACAAAAGAAUUAAUUAUAUUCACCAUUAAAAGAGUAUCAAAAUUAUGUCUGAAAGAUAACAUUACUAAAAUUUUAGAAAAUCAAAAGAAUUUUCAAAAGAAAAAAAAUGGAUCUAAACUACAAUCAUACUUGACAAAAUAUUUUGAAAGAACUAUCAUGUUAAUUGGAAGGAAAUAAACAUAACAAAGGAAUUUGUUAUGCAGUAGAUUGGACUGACAUUUGACUGUUAUGUACUAUAAGUCUGGUUUUUCACUUCGAUUCUGACCUACUUAUGUUUUCAUUGGUUAUUACAAAAAAAGGCAUCACGAUAAGAUCGUUCUACAAUACCAUUCGAAGAUUCAUGACUACUAGAGUUUCUUGAAUAAAAACGUUUGUUAUUCAUAUGAAAAUAGAAAAACGAAAUACCGAAGGAUUUAGGAGUAUCAUUCGAUAAUAUAUAUCCAUCAG